rnacentral:rRNA from 1 species
GACAGAGGAUGCAAGCGUUAUCCGGAAUGAUUGGGCGUAAAGCGUCUGUAGGUGGCUUUUAAGUCCGCCGUCAAAUCCCAGGGCUCAACCCUGGACAGGCGGUGGAAACUACCAAGCUGGGAGUACGGUAGGGGCAGAGGGAAUUUCCGGUGGAGCGGUGAAUGCGUAGAGAUCGGAAAGAACACCAACGGCGAAGCACUCUGCUGGGCCGACACUGACACUGAGAGACGAAAGCUGGGGAGCGAACAGG